CUAUGCGCCUUGCCAGCCCGCUCAGGUGUGCCAGCAGCCGCGGUAAUACGUAGGUGGCUAAGCGUUAUCCGGAUUUAUUGGGUGUAAAGGGCGUGUAGGCGGGAAUGCAAGUCAGAUGUGAAACUAUGGGCUCAACCCCGAACUGCAUUUGAAACUGUUGGUCUUGAGUAUCGGAGAGGCAGGCGGAAUUCCUAGUGUAGCGGUGAAAUGCGUAGAUAUUAGGAGGAACACCAGUGGCGAAGGCGGCCUGCUGGACUGUAACUGACGUUGAGGCUCGAAAGCGUGGGGAGCAAACAGG
rnacentral:rRNA from 1 species